rnacentral:rRNA from 1 species
AUUGAACGCUGGCGGCAGGCCUAACACAUGCAAGUCGAGCGAGCGGCGGACGGGUGAGUAAUGUAUGGGGACUGCCCGAUGGAGGGGGAUAACUACUGGAAACGGUGGCUAAUACCGCAUACUAUCGGAUAACCCAUAUGGGAUUAGCUAGUAGGUGGGGUAAAGGCUCACCUAGGCGACGAUCCCUAGCUGGUCUGAGAGGAUGAACAGCCACACUGGAACUGAGACACGGCCCAGACUCCGACGGAGGCAGCAGUGGGGAAUAUUGCACAAUGGGCGCAAGCCUGAUGGAGCCACGCCGCGUGAGUGAAGAAGGCUUUCGGGUUGUAAAGCACUGUCAUAGGGGAAGCGGUAUCCGAAGAAGAAGCACCGGCUAACUCCGUGCCAGCAGCCGCGGUAAUAC